rfam:Bacillus galactosidilyticus strain PL133 scaffold000136, whole genome shotgun sequence.
AUAAAUCCUUUGAUGAAGAGAGUAGUGAUCAUCACAGCUUAAGCGAGUUAGGGUUGGUGUGAGCCUAGCAGUCUGUUUGUUCAUGAAACGCACUUCUAAGGAGCUGCCUGAAAGCAGUAGGGCUUAUUGCCGGAUGAUUCCGUUAUAAAACACAAGCAGGUUCAAUAUGAACAAAAAGAGUGGUACCGCGAUUCAUCUCGUCUCUUAU